CGGAACCCUGGAGUCACCGGGCACCACAGUCCAGUGGCGGCUGCCCAACAGUCACUUGGCUGGAGAGAGUCAGCAGCGAUCAUGCUGUGCCACUUUCCCAGGCCGCAGCAAUAGGACCCCCCGCAGGGAAAGCACUUAGGCGCCAGUGAGAGGAUGGAUGGCUAAGUCCCCGUGCUUCAGGCCACUCACCAGGAACUGCCUGGCCUUCAGGGGCAGCACAGGGCGGGUCUCCCCAGACCCAGAGACCUGGGGACCUAAGAUGAGCGGGAGCCCAGGGCAGAUCUCCCUGGACCUGGACAUCAGACACUCAGGGCCACCGAGUCCAGGACAGGUCCAGUUAGGCCCGGCCACCACUGUCCUCCUUUUUUGUCCACCAUUCCCGGUGGAGCUGCACUCCCAGGAGACUCCACCAGCUGAACUCCUGUCCCAGCUGGAGCAAGCUGAGCCCACUGAGGCACAGCCCACGGGACCAGCUCCAGCCCCAGGUGAAGUCCCACGUGUGGAGCCUGAGCCAGCUCCACCUGCAGAGCUUCCUGCCCAGCGCUGGGACCACAGCCAGAGUCCAUGGAAGCCCCUUCACCUGCUGCAGUGCUGGGUCACCCGGUGGCUGCACGGCGGUCAGUGUCACCUCCUGAGCCCUGCCUGGGGCCAGCUCCUGGCCCCCUCCCACUGUUCCCCCUCACUUACGGUGGCUCUUGUUUUGGUAUUUACAAUUGCCCUUAUUUCUUGGAUUUAUAUAAAUAAUAGAACUAGUUUUUAAUAAAACUUAAAAUUUUAGUGUUUAAAAG
rnacentral:lncRNA from 1 species